CAGAUAAGUACCUAACUUGCUAUUUCCUUUUUUUUAUCACUUGUAUCGAUGCCCAAUUGCAUCUAAAAGUGUUGUCCACUUCUAUUGCAGCAGUGCUUGAGGAUUCAGUGAUCAGCAGAUCUGCAAGGACAAAAGAGUGUGCAGUGUUAAGCUUCAGCGAGUACACGGUUGCUCAUGCUGUACUGCUCGUGGCGCUUCAUACAACUGUUUUGUCGUUCUCCAAUUCUCAGGUAUGUUCCUAAUCCUGUCCUGGUGAUUAUUGAUGUUAAACCCAAGGAGUUGGGUAUACCCACCAAUGCAUACUAGGCCAUUGAGGAGGUUAAAGAAGUAUGUCUGGGGCUAAGACGCUGGAGUAUUUCACUUGGUUGAUCCAUUUUUAAUUUGUUUUUUGUCUUUACAGAAUGCUACUCAGAAAAGUCGAAUGGUAUUUGUCCAUGUUCCUUUAGAAAUUGCUGGAUGAGAAGUAUGUCUAGGGGCUGAGAAGCUGGAGUAUUUCACUUGCUUGCUUACCUUUUAAUUUGUUUGUCUUUACAGAAUGCUACUAAAAUUUUGAAAGGUAUUUGUCCAUGUUCCUUAAGAAAUGCUGCUCAUGAAGUUGAGGAAAUUGGUCAGACUUGUUGAUCUGCUACUGCAUGAACAACAACAAAAAGUUAUGUGGAUUUUACUAUUCUUAUUCUGUUUCACUGAAUCCCGGUCCCGUGAAGGUCAACCUCGGUGUCGGUGGCUACCGGACCGAGAUGAGAUGAGUUUGUGGAUUUGAUGUGAACCUUCUAAGUCCCCUUUUGUUUUUUUAUUAUUUGGAUCUAUUGAUGGAUUUUACGCCCCUGUUUCUAUUCUGAUCUGAAGGGAAAAUCCUCUCAUGCUGAAUGUGGUCAGGCACAUCGAGCAAAUGUGGUCAGUCGCCCUCUGUGUACGCCAGCAGAAUUUCAUGGGAAGCCCCUCGUGCUAAAUGUUUGAUAUGGUUUUCCUGGCGCUCGUAUUUGCAAACGAGAAUUAGUGUUGUUCUGCUGUCUGUAAUCUGUGGUCUGCCACAACAUUAUGUAAAGGUUUGCCUCGUUUCCUUUAAAAACGAGAUCGUUGAGGUGUGGCUCAGUCAUACCAUAAUCAAUGAAAUUCAGGUGGGGAUUCUCUCCCCACCGUUGUCAGUUAAAAAAUGUUGAUGCUAGGAUAAUUCAUUAGAAGCUUCAAACAAAAAUUCUGAUAUUACCAUACAUUCUUUUAGCAAAUGAAUACACUUCUAGAGUACAAAAUAGUGUGAUAAUUGAUAUGAUUGUAAUCUAAAUA